rnacentral:rRNA from 1 species
GGGCCCGCGGCCUAUCAGCUUGUUGGUGGGGUAAUGGCCUACCAAGGCGACGACGGGUAGCCGACCUGAGAGGGUGACCGGCCACACUGGGACUGAGACACGGCCCAGACUCCUACGGGAGGCAGCAGUGGGGAAUAUUGCACAAUGGGCGGAAGCCUGAUGCAGCGACGCCGCGUGAGGGAUGAAGGCCUUCGGGUUGUAAACCUCUUUCAGCAGGGACGAAGCGUGAGUGACGGUACCUGCAGAAGAAGCACCGGCUAACUACGUGCCAGCAGCCGCGGUAAUACGUAGGGUGCGAGCGUUGUCCGGAAUUACUGGGCGUAAAGAGUUCGUAGGCGGUUUGUCGCGUCGUUUGUGAAAACCCGGGGCUCAACUUCGGGCUUGCAGGCGAUACGGGCAGACUUGAGUGUUUCAGGGGAGACUGGAAUUCCUGGUGUAGCGGUGAAAUGCGCAGAUAUCAGGAGGAACACCGGUGGCGAAGGCGGGUCUCUGGGAAACAACUGACGCUGAGGAACGAAAGCGUGGGUAGCAAACAGGAUUAGAUACCCUGGUAGUCCACGCCGUAAACGGUGGGCGCUAGGUGUGGGUUCCUUC